rnacentral:rRNA from 1 species
UACGGAGGGGGCAAGCGUUAUUCGGAAUUAUUGGGCGUAAAGGGCGUGUAGGCGGCCUUGUGUGUCCUAUGUGAAAGCCCUCGGCUCAACCGAGGAACUGCAUGGGAAACUGCGGGGCUUGAGUCCGGGAGAGGAUAGUGGAAUUCCCAGUGUAGCGGUGAAAUGCGUAGAUAUUGGGAGGAACACCGGUGGCGAAGGCGGCUAUCUGGACCGGUACUGACGCUGAGACGCGAAAGCCAGGGGAGCAAACGGGAUUAGAUACCCCGGUAGUCCUGGCUGUAAACGAUGAGCACUUGGUGUGGCGGGUAUCGACCCCUGCCGUGCCGAAGCUAACGCAUUAAGUGCUCCGCCUGGGGAGUACGGCCGCAAGGCUGAA